AUAGCACACUUUCGCUGCGCCACUCUGCUGCAAAACACCCCAGAUGGGACUUGAAACCAUCUUAUUAUUUAUAAAAGGAGUACCAAUUCGACAUUACUUGAAGUUGAAGUAGACUCCAUUUUUGUCUUCUUGCUUCCACCCGGGACGCGCCCCCCCACCCCCACCCAAAGUCACAAAAUCGCAUUGCCCAAUAUUUCGUAAUUUUGUGUCGUAUAUUUGUGUCGUUCCAGGUGUGUAAGGACCUUUAGCCUUCUAAGUUUUACACCACAUGUUCAUUUACAUUGUUUGAUUUUUCCACCCAAGGCAAAAGGAGGUUACCUUCUCAUCCACCGGGGUGAACCCCAACAUACAGGCACCAAGCCGGGCAGCAGUAAGUAUUGCCACCCCUGCAUGGCGCCUCUCACCAGUGGCAACUGCAGGGUAGAGUAGAUGAGAGUCCAACCUUACUUGAGAGGGCUGGUUCCACUAUGUGUGGAGGUGAGUCCAAAGAUCGAACUGCCAAGGUCCCCGCCUUCUGCUGCUGCCAAACUCACACUGCACUCUACUCCUCUGGCCCCUCCCAUGGGCCUCUUCUGGCUGUGCCAGGCCCGGCCAUCAGGUGCUUGUCAUUGAGCCCCACUCCCAGGCCUAGCUCCAGGUGGUGGCCCUGGUGACCCAUGUACGGGCCAAGGAAACACAUUAUCAAAUAUUGUAUUCUUCAUUAGGUUUCUAUUUGGGCUACCCUUAGUCUGAUCCCUCCCCCAGGAACUGUUUGCCAUGGGUGACCCUAACAGCGGCGUAAAGCCCCCGACAACUUAGCUCCUGGGAUCAUUGAGACACGCAAACCCCUCCACCACGUUAAGGUGGUAGCUCGAGGAGGGGAUUUUUUUUUUUUUUUUGAUUAAAUUUUUUUUUGUAUUUUUUUUUUAUAAUUUUGUAAUUUUUUUUGUUAAUUUUUUUGUAUUAUUUUUGUAAAGUUUUUUUGUAUUUUUUAAAAAAUAUAUAUUUAUUUAUUUUUUAUUUUUUUUUGUCUUUGUUGUUUUGUUUGUUGUUUUUUGGUGUGUGUGGGAAAACCGGAGCUAUCCCGGAGGAAACCACACAGACACGGUGAAACGUGUUAAGUCCUGACUGACAGAAAGCAGUAGCUUCAGUCUGUUAGGACCUGACAUGUUCCUCUGUGCCUACCUAUUGGCCUGUGAUGGCCUCUGUGUGUGUAUUUCUGUGUGUGUGUGUGUGUGUGUGUGUGUGUGUGUGUGUGUGUGUGUGUGUGUUAUGGUGUGGGGUUGGGGUUUUUCAUCUUUUCAUCCUUCAUCUGCUGCUUGUAUUGGCGCCGAUGUUUAGGAGUCAUUCCCUUUUUAAGCCUCCUCCACCAGGAGAUCUCCAUCUGAGGUGUUUCUUCGAUGGUCUUGAGUGUUGCUCCAAUAAUCUCCAUCUCAGGUGUUUCCUUGAUGGUCUCAGGUGUUGUUUUGGAGACCUCCUCCAUCUCAGGGAUUUUUUCCAAGGUCCCGGGGGUUGCUCCAAAGAUCUCCUCCAUCUGGGGUGUUUCCUCAAUGGUCUCAGGUGUUAUUUUGGAGACCUCCUCCAUCUCAAGUGUUUCCUCGAUGACUUCUGGUAUUGAGCUGCAGAUCUUCUCCAUCUCUAUGGUUUCUUUGAUGGUCCAGAGUGUUGCUCCAGAGAUCUCCAUCUCAGGUGUGUCUUCGAUGGUCUCAGGUGUUAUUUUGGAGACCUCCUCCAUCUCAGGUGUGCCUUCGAUGGUCUCAGGUGUUAUUUUGGAGACCUCCUCCAUCUCAGGGGUUUCCUCGGUGACCUUGAGUAUUUUUUGGAGCUCAACUAGGCACCUGCGCAGGGCCUGACAGACCUCUUCCUGGUCUUCUAGAUUGGAUGCCAGUUUGAAGCAGGUGCUGUUUGCUUCUGUCAGCUGACUGUUUAAGGUCUCCAGCUGAUCUUCACAAAACUUCUCUCUGCUUUGGGCCUCUCUCUGCAGCUCCCUCACCUUCUGUUUCAGAGACUCGUUUUCUGUUGUCACCUCCUCAAUCAGCUUCUGUUCUUUGCGAUUUUUGUCCAGAAGCUGAUGCCUGACUUCCUCCAGUUGUGCCAUAAGGUCGUCAGGCAUCUGCCCCUUUUCCUGCAGAAGAAUAUUUUGGGAAGCUACAAUAUCAAGGGUCUCUUGAAUCUUGGUGAGAUAAAUUGAUUCAGUCUUUGAAAUCUCCUCUGCCCUUCUUGAAACUUCUUCCUGCAGGUCCUUUACUUGCUGCUCCAGAGCAAUUUUCUCUGUCUCCAGCAAUUCAACCUGUUUCAAGUUCUUGCUGUCAGUCUCCUGAAGCUUGCAGCUUGAUUCCUCCUGUUCUUUUUGGAGGGUAUCAGCCCUUAGUCUCUCGGCCUGCAGCUGGCUGUCAAGAGAUGCAACACGAUCUUUGAGCGCCUGCAUCUCAGCUGUAUUAUCAGGCUUCGUUUCUGGUGUUCUACAGAGCUCCAACUCUUUUUUUAGCUCUUCCAUCUCUUUUUCCAUAGCCUGUUUAGCAGCCAUCUGCGCUUUGAGCUCAUUCUCCAAAGCAUCCAUGUUGGGGCCAGUGCUGGAGGCCUGCUCCUGCGGCUUUGGACCACCUGCGUGUGGCUCAAGUAACUUUUUGUUUUGGGCAGAAAUUACACCCAAAAGCUCCUCUUUUGUUUUUAAAGGUCUUUGGUAUGGGGUCUGGUGGUUAACCUGCCCGUCCCCUUGUGGUCUUUGGUAUGGGGUCUGGGGGUUAAUCUGAUGGACUUCCUGCUGUGUUUGGUUAGAGGCCUGGUGGUUCACCAGGCGGAAUACCACGGUUUUCUGACGAGGGGUCAGGUAUACCGUGCUUACCAUCUGCUGUUUUUGCUGAGCUGCUGGCUGAGUGGGGGGCUGCGUUGGUUGUUUUUGCUGGCAGCUGCUGUCAACACUGGCCCCUGGCAUUGUGUUAAUCAUCUCCAUAUCCUCCAACUCCAUCAUAUCUGCCCAGUUCAUGGGCUGUGUUUCCUUGUUGUUCUGCAUUGUGGUUUAUAAAUGAAGAACAGUGAAAAAAAUCUCUCAAGUCUUCUGGACUGGUCUCUUUGGACGGUCUCUGUAGAUGCUCUGUGUAUACAGUCUCUGUAUACGCUCUUUGUAUGUGGUCUCUGUAAAGGUUCUCAGUAGAUGCUCUCUGUAGACGGUGUGGUCUCAGAUCAAAUCUAUGUAAUAAGCUGUGGCUCAGCUCAUAUACUGUAUAUAUAUUGACUCUAGAUGCCUUCGAUGAUGAUGAUGUCAUUGUGACAUCACUCUAAAGGGCUUUGAUGAUGUCAUUGUGACAUCACAAUUCCGUUCCCUUGAUGUUUUUUUUUUUUUUUUUCAAAUGUAAACAACUUUAUUUACAACAUAUCAUAAACAUUACAGUAAUAGAACGGGGUUCAACGUAUGUUUUAAUCACAAUGAAUUGCAAUUAAAUGAAACAAAUAUGACAGAACAGUUACAAUAGGUGAAGAGUAAAACAAAAUUGUAAAUCCAGUUCAUCAGAAUGGCAGAAUUUCAUUCCCUUGAGCUUCCUUGUGAUUGAUUCUCAAAGAUUCUAUUGACUCUCUGUGAUGUCACAAAAACAAAACGGCUGCCCAGCCUCGGUGAACUACCCAACCCAACAUUUUUUUUUUUUUUGUAAACAGAUUUUACUGAAAUUGUCAAAGUUUCGAUACACUAUGGUGACAUAUCAUGCUUUAAGAAUAAAGCUGUUAAUUACACACACAUAUAUAAACAGGGGGUAAACAGUUAAUGCAAUGACAUGCGAAAACUCCCACGGCAGGUAAUAUGGCUGCAAAUUCACAGCCAGCAGCUCAAUGUCCUUAGUGCAGCACUGCUCCUCCCAGUAUUCCCACUGCAGUCUAGUCAGCGCUGUGAGCUCUUCCAUCUUGUUGGGGAGAGACCUCACGUUUCCCAUGAUGAUGGACGGGACAGUUGGUUUAUAAUGUCUCCACUUCGCCUGAUGCUGAACUCCAGCCCUGUAUCCUCUCCUUCUCCUGUGGAGCUUGGUGGGGAUGUCCGGUCUGUCCAAAGAAGGUGGCCGGGCUUGGCGCAGCGCCAACAGCUGUUCACGGCUGUAAACAAUGGGGCCGCUGAACGGGUCGCCAGACGCGGACUUGAAAACUCCAAAAACUAAAAGAAAACAGUGCUAGUCUCUGAAAUCUCUGUCCCUUUUGUGUACUUUGCAGGGGAUAAUAACCACUAAAAAUUUGUGUUGAAAGUGGUACUUAGAGUUCAUUUUCAGAUAUUGGUUUAAAUGAUUGGGCUUUUGGCCUUGUGCUCUUUCAGUCUCUGACUAAACACAUGUGCCUUGUUACCUAAACUGACCUAAACCUCUUCACAAAUGGUCAAUUCAGAGAACAGAGACAGAGUAUUUAUUACCUUUCAAUUUGACUCCAUCCCUGACCAUUUAAAUAAACAUUAAUGCCUCAACAAGGUCUUCCAUUUGAGAUUUAAGUGUGUGAACACACACAAUCCAAGGAAAUGUCAGCAGAGCAGGACGCCGACCUCCAGACCUCGGUCGUAAAACCUUGCUUGACCAUGUACUGAUAAAAACUGCAUUCCUUUGGGAAAGAAUACAAAUGACUGAUCAUGACAUCUUUUGCAUUCAGCUAUGUACUAAUCUGUCAUAUCAUGAAAUUUGUGUCAAAACGAGAUGUGUCCCAUUUUCCUAUGUGCUCCAGAAGCCAAGUUAUCACUCUGACAGAAUAAAUCCUUUAUUCUUUAGUUUCUUUAGACCAACAGCUUUUCAGGCUGUUUCAUGAACUUCUAAGAGUUUACUUUAUUGAGUAAGAAUCAUAACUUUACUCUAAGUAGCAGAGAUAGUUCAGAAAUAUUUGUUUUAUAUUUUAAUCAUUUAUUUAGUAUUUUUAACCAUUAGGUGGUUAUAAUGUAAUUGAAUAAUCUAAUUGUUAGUAUAUAGAACCUAUUAUUAACUAUGAUUAAGUUGUUGUUCACAGUUUCUAUGUGUUACUAUCUGUUUCACUUCAGAGUAAUUUAGCAUGUUCAAUGUGAUACUUUAAACAUAAUGAGAAUGUUUGAAUAAGAAUAAGAAUAACUUUAUUAAUCCCUGAGGGGAAAUUCAAUUGUCUGUUGUUUCACAAAAUAUGUCUCUAACAGUUAUCUACUAUUUACACAGGAUUUAUUAAGUCUAAUGGCUGUUGGUACAAAAGAUCUUCUGAAUCUUUCUGUUCUGCAGCAAAAAGAGAGGAGCCGUCCACCACCAUUGGCCCUUUGGUCCAUCAAGGUGUUGUGAAGUGGGUGAUCCAUGUCCUUUGGAAUAGACUCCACCUUCCUCAGUGUAGAUCUCUCCACCACCUCCUGCAUUGAGUCCAGCUUGAGUCCAACGACAGAGCCUUUUUUACCAGUUUGUUAAGACGUCUUGCAUCUUUGUGUUUGAUGCUUCCUCCCCAGCAGACUGCAGCGUAGAACAGAACACUAUAGACAUCACAGACUGAUAAAAAAUAUGCAGCAUCGUACUACAGAUGUCUAUUGAUCGGAGUCUUCUCAGGCAAAAGAGGCAGCUCUGCCCUUUUCUGUAGAUGAAGUCUAUAUUCUUAGACCAGUCUGACUUAUUAUCCAGAUGUACACCUAGGUAUUUAUAUGAUGUCACCACUUCGAUGUCCACUCCACAGGUGUUCACUGGCUGAAGAGGGGGUUUGGAUCUACAGAAGUCUAUGACCAUCUCCUUUGUCUUUGAGGUGUUGAGGAGGAGGCAGCUUUUGUGACUCCAGUCACUGAAGGCUCUUAUCAGAUCUCUGUAUUCAGCUUCUUGUCCAUUUCUGAUACACACCACAAUAGCGGUGUCAUCUGAGUAUUUCUGGAUGUGGCAGGACUCAGUGCUGUAUUUGAAGUCUGACAUGUACAGUGUGAAUGGGAAUGGAGCCAGGACAGUCCCUUGUGGAGCCCCUGUACUGCUCAUUAAUGUCUCAGAAACACAGUUCCCCAGCCGGACAAACUGUGGCCUUCCUGUGAGGUAAUCUGUGAUCCAGGAAACACAGGAAGUAUCCACUCCCAUCUCUGUGAUCUUGUCUUUGAGUAUGGUGGGUUGGAUGGUGUUGAAUGCACUUGAAAAGUCGAAGAACAUGAUCCUCACAUAAACCCCAGGUUCCUCCAGAUGAGACAGGGCACGGUGAAGCAUGUAGAGGACAGCAUCAUCCACUCCAAUGUGUUCUUUGUAUGCAAACUGUAGGGAGUCCAGUUUGUCUUUGACCUCAGACCUCAGAAGGCGUAGAAUCAGCCGCUCCAGGGUUUUCAUGAUGUGUGAAGUUAGGGCCACUGGUCUGUAGUCAUUGAGACAUUUUGUUUUUGGUACUGGCACAAUGCAGGAUGUUUUCCACAGAGUAAGUACCCAACCCAGUUGUAGACUCAGGUUGACGAUCUUGUGGAAAGGUUGACACAGUUCUGCAGCACAGUCUCUAAGCAGCCUUGGACACACACCAUCUGGACCAGCUGCCUUUGUAAGAACAAAGUCUCCCAAGCUCCAUCCUCACCCCUGUUUUGGUGACAGACAAGGACUGGUGUUCUAGGAGGGAGGCAGUUGAAGUGGUUGAGACAUUUGAACAAGAUGGAGGAGGAACGGGAGAAGUUGUAGUAGAGGUUUGUUGUGGAGAGGAAGGUGGAGUAGCAGUAGGAGUGGGUGUGACAGCAGUGUCCAAUCUGUUGAAGGUUGAGUUCAUCAGCUCUUUCCAGAUCACCCACCACUGGCUGUCUUUUCUAUUUAUUGCUGUGUCCAGAGAUGGUACUGAUUCCUCUCCACACUUCAUGGAUGUUGCUGUGUUGUAGAUUCUUCUCUAUCUUUGAUCAAUAUCAAUCUUUCAAUUGAUAUUGAUGUAUUUUAUUGUAUAUUGAUGUAUGAUUUUACUCAUGUACAGCGUCUUUGAGUCUGUGAAAAGCGCUUUACAAAAAAAAUGUAUUAUUAUUAUUAUUAUUAUUAUUAUCUUCUUUUUGUACUCCAGCUUUGCCAUCUUCAGUCUCCUCCUUAACUCUUGUUGCACUUGUUUUAGUCAUUCUUUGUCACCAUCUUUAAAAGCUUUCUUUUUCUGGUCAAGGAUUGCUUUUAUGUCUCUUGUGUGCCAGGGUUUGUUGUUGGGGAAACAGCAAACAGUUUUUUGGGUAUAACUGUGUCUCUACAGAAGUUGACAUAUUCAGUAAAGCAGUCAACCUGUUUGUCAAUGUUCAUACUAUCCACAUCUGUUUCCAGCAGCACAUUCCAGUCUGUUGAUUUAAAACAGUCCCUUAGAGCUUCACUGGCUUGAAGUGUCCAUCUUCUGAUUUUGACUUUGGUCACAGGCUGCCUCAGUACACAAGGUUUGUAACAGGUUUGCAGCUAGACCUAGAUAUGAUUUGACUUGCCCAGUGGUGGUAAGGCAGUGGCUCUGUAGGCUUCUUUGACGUUGGCAUACAGCAGAUCCAGGGUUUUUUGUGAUUUGAUUUGGUUUGAUGUGAUUCUACACUGUAAAACCUAACAGUGUAUUUCAAUAAACAAAAUAAGUUCAAAUAACUUAAAACUCAAAAAGUUACUCCUCCCUAUAAAGUUGACCUUACUUGAAAGUUAAAAACUGAGGUGUCAACUAAGUUGUUUUUAUUCAUGAAAUUGUAGAGCAUUAUGAGUAUCUUCUUUUUGUACUCCAGCUUUGCCAUCUUCAGUCUCCUCCUUAACUCUUGUUGCACUUGUUUUAGUCAUUCUUUGUCACCAUCUUUAAAAGCUUUCUUUUUCUGGUCAAGGAUUGCUUUUAUGUCUCUUGUGUGCCAGGGUUUGUUGUUGGGGAAACAGCAAACAGUUUUUUGGGUAUAACUGUGUCUCUACAGAAGUUGACAUAUUCAGUAAAGCAGUCAACCUGUUUGUCAAUGUUCAUACUAUCCACAUCUGUUUCCAGCAGCACAUUCCAGUCUGUUGAUUUAAAACAGUCCCUUAGAGCUUCACUGGCUUGAGGUGUCCAUCUUCUGAUUUUGACUUUGGUCACAGGCUGCCUCAGUACACAAGGUUUGUAACAGGUUUGCAGCUAGACCUAGAUAUGAUUUGACUUGCCCAGUGGUGGUAAGGCAGUGGCUCUGUAGGCUUCUUUGACGUUGGCAUACAGCAGAUCCAGGGUUUUUUGUGAUUUGAUUUGGUUUGAUGUGAUUCUACACUGUAAAACCUAACAGUGUAUUUCAAUAAACAAAAUAAGUUCAAAUAACUUAAAACUCAAAAAAGUUACUCCUCCCUAUAAAGUUGACCUUACUUGAAAGUUAAAAACUGAGGUGUCAACUAAGUUGUUUUGAGUAUUCAUGAAAUUGUAGAGCAUUAUGAGUACUUGUAAACAUUUAAAGUUUGUUACAUGAACUCUUGCAAGCUGAGUAGCUUUCAUGAACUCAUUUAACUCAUGUCGAAAGUGUAAGCCCUGCUAACAUGGGUAGGAUAACCCGCUGUGCCUUUGACACAUGCCAUGCCCUAGUUCAAAGGCCAUUUUCAUGUUGAACCAUAGAGGGAAGUGGGACUGCUGCUCGACAUACAUUUUGACCCCUAAUUGAUUCAGACUGGUUUUAUAUUCAAGUUAAGUUGCUAUAUUAAGAUAUGAGAAAGUCAAAAAUAUGAGUAAUAGUUUUGAUCUAUUAAAUCUUAAUUAUGGGAAAAAAAUGACAAAUUUAUGAGGUUAAAUGUAGAUACUAAACUAUAACUUUAUCUCAUGAUUUUGACUUACAAUCUCAAAGGUUAUACUUUUGACCAUAAUUUUUGGCUUAAUUUUUUGAUCAUCCUUGCAUAGUUUAUUCUUUAUCAUCAAUUCUGGUCAUAUUAAACAUGUUGUGGUGAUUUUUAUCUGUUAAUUCUUGUAGAGUAAUCUUUUUGUUGUGUGGAGUUUUCUCCCUUGUUUCCCACAGAGGUUGGGCGGCUCCUCUCUCACUCUGGCACCUCCGGCAUGUACACACCUGUACCUCAUCUCCAAUAACCGCCCAUUCUUAAGCACUGCUAAGCGGCUUCUCAGUGUCAGAUGGUUCCAGCUUCUUUUGGGUAUCAGACCGACAGCUACGAGUAUCUAAAAUUUGUAUAUUCUCGCUAUUUGUGUAUAUUACCUGUGCUUACCCCUGCUCUCCUCUUUUCUCCUGCGGUGCCUCCUCGAGCCCGUUCCGCCAAGCCCCAGUCUCUGCCACGCUGCCAACACUCUCGCUCUAACCUCAGAGGGCUCUAUUUUCGUGCGUGCCGGUGAGGCGGCGGAGGGCGGCGAGCCCCGCGCAGUUGUAUUUUCGUCUGGCGGAGCCCGGCGUAAGGCCAGUUUGGUAUUUUCGUGGACUGAGCCGCACGGAUGCGAGCCGAGAUCCGCCAAGCUGGGCGUGGUGGCGUGGCAGGGGGAGGUGUCGACACAAUCAGCUGGCG